AGGAUUUUUGUUCAAAAACUGUCUCCAACAAACUCUCUAGCGAAGCUCCCAAUGGAUGAAAAUCCCAAACCCGGAUUGUUCAGUCUCCACUUCUGGGGAUGAGGUCCCGCUCCCAAUCCAUCGCACUUCGCUCCUUCGCGUGCGGAAGACGAAAUGUUCCCACAUAGCUUCCUUUCGCCCUCAUACGCCGCCGGUUCUGUUUCACCAUCGGCGUCGUCUUCCCCAUGCUUCCCUAGCGUCGGUUUUCUUCCCAUUCCCGGUGACGGCGCAUGGUAUGGCGGCAGCAACACUUUCCAUCGAAGCCUGGUGGAGGACAGUUGUCGCCGCUCCCCCAAGCACCAGCGAUGCCUCAAUUCUGGGCGUCGGCGUGAACCGCCCGGUGCCGUCCAUGGCCUAUCUCCCGAGCACUAGAUCCCAUCGACUAUGAAGCUCCCAACAUCGAUUAACUUGUUGAUGGUUGCUACUUGCUGCCCGAACAUGGUAAGUAUGGAUGCUUCUUGCCAGAUUUGUUGCUGGUGCCUGCUUGCUGAUUCUUCGUACUGCUGGAAUUGGUUGUUGCUUCCUACUAGAACUGUUGUUGCCUGCUGAACUCAAGUUGGUGUUGCUGAUAUGAUUGUGUGACAAUUGCAGCUGCCUGAACUGGAUAUAAAUUUGGAAAUAAAAGGAUUUUCAGUCAUGAAAUUUCUGCACAUAGCAGCAUUUCUUUUCCUUUGAUAUACUUAGUAGUUUGCAGCAGUUGAACCCUGAUAUGGCAAGUGCACAGCUUAUAUGCUGCUGGAAUUGCUACUGGAGCUGUUGCUUGUUACUGCUGCUUCUGUUUGAUGCUGAAAACUAAAAAUUGCUGGAACUGUUGCUACUACAAAUUGUUGUUGCUGGAAAGGCUGCUGCUGAAAACUGAAAAUUGUUGCAAGUAGCAAUAGUUCAUCGUAGUUUGUAUAGUUUACCAAGUUCAUGCACUCUGUUGCCCACAAUUAUUGUUGGAUGGGAAAAAAAAGGAGAUUUCAAGUUUAGUAAAAUUCAGCUUCAGAAUCAAGAUUCAGACU